ensembl:lncRNA
GAUAGCUGGCCGCAGCACCAGGAGCCUCUCUUACCACAGUUGUGUGAUAGUCCCUUCCUGCUUUGAUGGGUAGCUGGGACUGCAACUUGGUCCUUUGCUGAGAAAAUUUACUAGUCUAUGGAAAACAAAGGUAGCCUAUUCCAACGUUCUGACGUCUUUCUAAAAUUACAAUCCAGUAGGCACUUGGACCAAAUCCUAAAAUAGCAAGGGGUUCAGCUCUAUGGGUCACAGUUCAACCACCUGCCUCACUAUUGUAUAACAAAUGUUGCCAAAUUCCCAGCUAGAACUGAGGGCAUCCUCACCACCUUAGAAAUCAUCUCAGCUUAAUCAGUUUCCCACACUUAGACCAGCCUAAAAGAAAAAAGAGAGUUUGUUAACUGACAUACCUGGGAAAUUCUGUGGAUAAAUCUUUAGCUACAAUUAAUUCCAGAGGCUCAAGUGAUGACAUCAGACAUCAGAACUCUCCAUCCGUCUCUCAACUUGAUUCUACUUGGCUUUGAUAAACAGUCUCACCCGAUAGCAGUCACGAUGUCUCCUGGCUACUCUGACUAACAAGCUUCUCAGUAUAACGAUCUCGGGGGAAAUAAACCUUCACUCCUCCAAUAACCACAGAGCAAUCCCUGUGGCUAAGGGUGGGGUUCUCAUAAAGGGAUAACAAGAAAAAUUCCCUGAAGGCCCUUGACAAAGGGAGCGGAAAAGUCUGUGGGCAGACUCCACUUCACUCUUGCUACUCAAGGUGUCGUUCACGAGCCACCAGCAGGGCAGCAUCACCUGAGAGCAUGUUAGAAAUGGGAAUAUAGCACUGCAGCCUCCAUCCAAAACUUCUCCAUCUGACUCUUCAGUUAACAAGCUCCCCAGGUGAUUCGCAUGCACAGUAGAAUCGAGAAAGUCUGCUUUAAUAAAGUGGCCAUCCAAGCGAGAAUGCAGGGGAAAAGCAUUUUUAUGCCGGGACUUAGAAAGUAGAAGCCCACGUCUCCUUCCUGAAAGAAGACAUUCCACGACGUCCAGCCAUCUGAGAGAGACACAAUGAAUUCAAGAAUGGAGAUGCUGAGAUUUAAAAGGAUAAUCUAGUGAUCUGGAGACAGAGCUGAGCCAGAAGCGCCAGUCCUGAUGCUCUGCAUGCUGGAGGGAAGAAGGCACCCUUCCACCCAACAAAGGCCUCUCUCUGCUGGGACCAGGGUUGGAACAGCCCGAGAAGGCCCAGCCUCUGUCGUUUGUCAGCACUUUCCUUCACUUUGUCUUGGAAGCAGUGUCCUGGGCAGCCUCUCUCAUUCAGACACAGUGUGAUGCCAUGCUCCUCAUUGUCCCCUCCUGCAUGCCCAGACACACACGCCUCCUUCCCUCCUACAGCUGGUGCAGGUUCAGCCUCCCAACUGCCAGCACAGGCUGGGACGUGGAGACUGAAGCUGCUCUCUGGAGGAACACUGAGUGACCUUGUGUCCUCAUUCACACUCUCUGGGCCAACGCUACAGGCACAGCCUCACCAUAUGUCACUUUCCCAAGCUUGACUGACACCUUUUCUAGACAUGUUUCUAGGGUGAGCAAAUGCAACAGCAGUCAGACCUCCACUUGAGUUCUGAGACAACACUGACAACUUUCUCUGUGCUUUCCACCCUCAGAGCAGAAGCUUCCCUGAGUGAGCUCUGCUUGGGAGGAGAGCAACGAUGGACGCAGGAAGAUGCCUCCUUCCUCUGUAUGCUAGGACUCUCCU